UAUAGGAGACUGUUGAAUUAUUGACAUUUUCAGGUCUGAAUCCGUUUGCAGCGAUGGCGGGUACAGUUUAUCAGUUUCCCCCGUCAGUGAAGGUGAGAUCGGGUGAAAGAGUGACCAUGCACUGCCAGCUGAAUGAGGUGCAGUCAUUCUGUCACACAGUGGCCUGGGUCAGAGUACACCCCGUGAGUGGAAUAAUAGACAUUCUGCAGGACUCAAACAUCCCUCACCAGACUAAAGAACAGGUGGAAACCACAGUGUGUCAGGCUUCCAUCUACAACGCAACAGUGCAGGAUUCUGGGAUGUAUUACUGCAUCGCUACAGACCGUGAGCAUAUGUAUCUUGGGAAUGGCACAGCUGUCACUGUACAAGCUGACAGCGCUGUGAUGCCGUCUAUUGAUAUCAUGGCAUUUGCCAGCAGCAACAACCACGACUCUACAGUCACUCUUCAGUGUACAGUCGAAGGAUUUGCUUCAUCACGGGUCUAUGUGCACUGGCUCAUAGGGAGUAGAAAGGAAAAUGGACAAACUUUGUUUGUUUGGGAAGAAGGCGAAGAGAACUCAGUGAAAACUCAUAAUUAUGUAGCAGUAUCGGCUGAGGAGUGGAGGACAGGAGGAGCGUGCACCUGCGUUGUGAAGUUUGGUGGAUGGAUGUUCAACAAAACUCUGCAUUAUUAUGAUAUCCAGGACACUUGCUAUCCUCUUGUCAGUGUAACCAGAUUUUUUGCCCUUGUCACUGCUCUACUUUUUUUAACAACCUCAUUAAUUUUAGCAAGACGCUUCUAA